rnacentral:rRNA from 1 species
CUGCUGCCUCCCGUAGGAGUCUGGACCGUGUCUCAGUUCCAGUGUGGCUGGUCAUCCUCUCAGACCAGCUAGGGAUCGUCGCCUAGGUGAGCCGUUACCCCACCUACUAGCUAAUCCCAUCUGGGCACAUCCGAUGGCAAGAGGCCCGAAGGUCCCCUCUUUGGUCUUGCGACGUUAUGCGGUAUUAGCUACCGUUUCCAGUAGUUAUCCCCCUCAUCAGGCAGUUUCCCAGACAUUACUCACCCGUCCGCCA